ensembl:lncRNA
UGCUCCCUCAUGUCUACAAAACUAGAUAAUAAAGUAAUAAUCUAAAAUGACAAUAUAAAAAAAGAAUGUGCACUCAUUUGAAAUUUCAGCUUCCAAACAACCUCUGCUAUGGUCAGUCUGACUUGCCUAGAAGAUAAUCACAGCAGGGCUACAGCCUUUACUGUCUAUAUUUUCAAAGGGUCACAAUAGGAAAGGUAAUUUCAACAAAAGGCAGACAUUUCUACCUCAGAUUAGCGAAGACAACUCAGAAACUCUGCAAUUUUCAGGAUAUGAUAAAAUAUGUUAAGCAGAUCUGAACUAGCUGAAAGAACAUGCUGUAUCUUUGAAAAGGGGGCUAGUUUUUAGAAAUUCAUCUUAAUUUUUCCUUUCAGGGUCUGAUGUUUUCUCUGAUAGUCACACUGCCUUGGGGCUGCAGUACUCUGGGAACUUUGGGAACUGCCAGAGCUUCAAGGUUGCUGGUACCCCAGACACACCCUGCUUUGUGCCCUAUGUCUACAAGUCCUCCAGAAUCUGCCUCUGCUCCAAGACCUGUCUCUGCUCCAGUGUUGUCACCAACAAGCACAACUCAGGUCUGUCUUGAACUUGUUACUAAGGUUUUUUUGCUGAUCUUUUUAUUCUGCAGAGAUCAUUAAAAAGGUUUUCCUAUGAAUAUAUAUAGUACAACAUAAUUUAUCAACACAGCUGUAAUUUUCUAUCAUUCACCAUUUUAGACACAUGUUAAAUCACUGCAGUCACUGUGUACAUUGCAGGUUCAAUUCAUGCACCAGACAUAUGAAUUUUAAAUGUCCUGAAAGUGGAUGUUUUCCUAUUUUUACAUCCAUUUUAAUGAUUUCUUUCCUUGCCGCUAAAGUCUAGCUUUACUUGUUCUUGGUACUCCCUCCAUUAACAUCAGUAAAUCAUUGACUUCAUCUUCUAGACCAGAAGAGCUUUCCCCUGUUUGAAAAUAUGUUUGCUAUAAUAAGUUAUAUAAUCCAGGAUUCUUUCCUCUGUCAUUUGUCCUUCCAUGUCAUUUUCCAUCCUCUAGGUUUGAUGGAUCUUUUCCUGUCUGACACUGCUCUCCUACUUUUCUGCCAGUCCCUUAAACUCUACUUUGUCCUUAUGCCUCCUACAGCACAGCCCUUCUCUAGCCUCAGCUUUGUGUUUUUCUGUCCUCAGUCCCAGAAAAGCAUUGAGUUCCCUCACCUGUGGUCUGAUAUGAGAGAACCUUCCCAAGAUGAGAAGGCAGCAAUUUGCCUGGAACUGUGGCUGGGAUAGGGAGUGAAGGACAGGACUGCAAGAAGCCGAAAGGCAGGAUUUCCCAGCAGCAAGCCCUCACUACCAAGCUAAAGAGUUAUGCUCUGUUGUUUCCUCACCCACUCGCUGAAUGCUUGUUCUGUAGACCUAAAUAUAGAUUUAGCACCCAAGUUUUAAAAUAUUGUUCAUAAUCCCCUAGAUUCUAUGAAGGACAACAUCCUUGAGUGAAAUGGGCCAUUGCCACCAAGACAACACUAUUUAAAAGCCUGCCUGCUUCAAAAGGACAGAAGGUUAUUUUCACUGCACUGAUCUGUUGGAAGGAAGUUUUAUGCUUGCAACUGGUAUAUUUUUCUCCAUUUUCCUGCAGUCUUGCAUAAUCAUCUAAGUAAUGCCAUAGCCUGAGAAAAACAAACAAACAAACAAACAAAAAAGCCACAAAAACUGCCUUUCCCUUCCUGUUUUAUACAAACUGAGGAACACACCACAGUACUCUGCAAUUCUUCUUUGAUGUAGCAAAUGAUCUUACUACAUUGGUAAGUGAUUUUUCAUUAUUUGGACUGGAUUGCUUUGCAGUACCUGUGAAUAAAUCCAUAAGAUAAACACCAAUUUUCUUUAAAAGUGAUAGCUCAGAUAAAAUGGGAAGAGCAUCAGGAAAAAGGAAAAGACCUUUAGUGAAUUUCUGUGUAAGAGAAGAUCUGGGAAAAGAUCCCAGCUUCCUGUUCCCACAAUCCAAAUGCUGGAUUGUUCAGCCUUGUGUUAUUAUUUACAUAUAACUAGAUCUGUUUUUUAGAUAUUAAUGACUAACACAGUAUAAUUCUCGUCUAGAGCUGAGAGCCCUAGACAUAUUGCAGAUAACAAACCAUAACAGAGUUAGGUCAUGAGAUAAUAUUGCAGGGUAUUUUUAGUAUGCAUUUUUAGUUCUUGGGCAAUUCUUGUUGCCUGACAAGAUUUUAAAGCCCCUGUCAAGACUUUAAAUAACAGAGUACUUGAAGCUGGAAGGGAUCUCUGGGGGUCACCUGGCUCACCCCCAGAGCUGGUCACUCAGGACAGAACAUCACAAGUGACAAAAUUAAAACAUUUAUCUCAGGAAAUGUCAAAUAAUUGUCAAGAUUUGGAUUGACCAAAUCUUUGAAGUUGUGGAGAAGGCUGGACAUGUUACUCAACUCUAGACAUGUAAAUUUCUGCACCUGCAAGAUGAAUGCCACAAAAAAAAAAAAAAAAGAAAAAAA